GUAUAGCGCGCCCCUGGACCGAAGCUCCCACUACAGAGGGGCAAUGCUGGCGAGGGUCGCAGAGUGAAAACGAGAGGGAAAAGAAGGCUGUGCGGUACGAGCAUGAGAGAGGGAGAGAUCGGGUGGUCCCUAACAGAUGUUUGUUAACGGCAAAAACGUUGUGCGCCUCUAUCAUUAACACUCGAGCUCUGUUUUAAUUUCCAAAUCUAUUUUCAGUAAAUAUUUCAAAUUCUAUUAAAAUCACCAAGUUACAUUUUAAAACUUUUCGUGUGAGCUGGUGGAUUUUUUUUUUACGUGAAUGGUAGGGCCUAUAUGGACUCCCAACUUUAAAAAAGGUGUUAACAACAAAUAUUAUGAGUGAGUGAGUUCCUUCCAACUUCUCAAAGGCUUUGACGUUUGUGAACUUUCCACUGGAUCAGGAUUUAAAAACAAACAAACAAACAAUCCCUUCUUCGUCAGAGCAACAAGUGACAAAAAAACGUCAAACCUCAACGUCACCUCCGCCUCCUCCUCCCCUUCCUCUUCCCCUUCCUCCUACUUCUCCCCUCAGUCUAGUUUCACCUCACUCGUUCUUUUCCCUGUCAUUCGUGACGAACUGGAGGACUCCCACAGCUAGAUUAGCUCGCACCUCCAAGAUUCAUUGAUUUGGAUAUCACGGAAGCGUGUGGUGGAAAUAGCAAGUGAAAGUGAGUAGCUUUGAACGUGACUUGUUGCAUGCACUUUAACGAUAAUAUGUUUUAAAAAGUUGUUUUCUGUUUAUGAAAGGAGUUUUAUCAUUCUGGGAUUACCUGUGCCUUCCUCCGGCAUGUACGUUUUCACUUAAUGUGCAUCAUGUUUUCUAUAGUCGAUGCUUUUUUUCUGAAUUAUUUAUUCAUUUUUCCAGAAAGAGAUGAGAUGUUUAGAAAAUGAUGAGGAUGCUGAAAAAGAUAAUCAUUUCUCUUAAACACUUUUGCUUGUUUUUGUGUUGUUGUUGUGAAUCAAAACUUUUACUUUUGGAUGUCAAGUUUAUUUUUUUUCAACAAGCCAUAACACGGGUCUAAAGUGUUCUACAGUAGUCAACUUUCGAAAUGUUAGUGUUGCCUCUGUCCAGACGUUACAAAAACAUAAGAAAGCAAAGACUGAAGGUGAAUAAAGUUUGAACAAAAUUAAAUCAAAGACACAGUUUUGAAUUUUGACGCAUAAAUCUAUCAAUUGUACAAAGCCGUCCAAAUGAAGCCCUCUAAACUCACUUCAAAUAAAGAUUUCAGAACUAAAUAGGCCGAUGCAUAACUGGAAUGUUCCGAGUCUAGUUUUUGGUAAUAACCGACAUUUCAAACGGUGUGGACCCCAUGUGUGAAAAAUACGUUAUUACAAUAUGGUUUUGUUGAUACCUGGAGGUGUCAUGUCUGACUCAGAGGUUGACACGCUAUGGCCCGUUAUUACUAACUGCGAUCGCUGCCUGCUGUCGUGUAUUUUGUCAUAGUAAAGGCCAGUCGGUGCCUUGACGUUAUCGAACCACAUUGUGUGUUGUUUCUUUUCCCUGACAUCUUGCAUUGGAAUAUUCCCUUCAUAAUAGCUUGGUUGCGUGUCUUAUGAUCAAGGUAUUGUAUUUUUAAAAAACCUUUAAUAUGGUUAUAACGCAGCUACUGAUUACUAUUUUGUCCACUACAACACUGUUACACCCUGAACGUGUGAAAGCAAACAUGAUCUCACUCUUACAUGUCCUGAAAAAUUUGUCACGGCCAACAUUUUCAAAAUUCGCUCGAUCUGGUCCGUGCUUUACAAAAGCUGUAGCAGACCACAAAACAACAUGCCAAUGUAUAAUUCAUCUUCAUAAAAAUAAAAACAAAA